rnacentral:rRNA from 1 species
GACGAACGCUGGCGGCGUGCUUAACACAUGCAAGUCGAACGGGGUGAAUGAUUUCGGUUGUUCACCUAGUGGCGAACGGGUGAGUAACGCGUGAGCAACCUGCCCUUGUGAGGGGGAUAACAUUUGGAAACAGAUGCUAAUACCGCAUAAGACCACAACGUCACAUGACGAAGAGGUCAAAGGAGAAAUCCGCACAGGGAGGGGCUCGCGUCCCAUUAGAUAGUUGGUGAGGUAACGGCCCACCAAGUCGACGAUGGGUAGCCGAGCUGAGAGGCUGAUCGGCCACACUGGAACUGAGACACGGUCCAGACUCCUACGGGAGGCAGCAGUGGGGAAUAUUGGGCAAUGGGCGAAAGCCUGACCCAGCAACGCCGCGUGAGAGAAGAAGGUCUUCGGAUUGUAAAUCUCUGUCGCAGGGGACGAAGAAGUGACGGUACCCUGUGAGGAAGCCCCGGCUAACUACGUG